UAAAGAUAUAUAUAAAAAUGGAUGAGAGUAUGUAGGUAUAUAUAAAUAGGAAAUUCAUUUAGUUAAAUUAUAUAUUAAAGGUAGGAGUAGGAGGAUACAAAUACUUAUAUAAGUUGAUAGUCCAUUCGAACCACACUCCAUACCAGUAGGUGGCGGUAAUGCUGCUUAAAGUUUGUUGCCAACCGCCAAUAAAAUCAAGAAGAAGAAGAAGAAUGUUGCUGUUCACUCUUGUACAGUAGGUGGUGAUAUUGUCCUUGAAGUCCACCAUAAUAUAAAAGAAGAAGAAUCUGUUGCUAGUAGCGUUAGCUUCUCUUCUGCUUGAAGUCAUUCUGGAGAGUGAUCAUCUGUUGGCUGAGUCUGUGAGUGUUUGCAGUAAAAAUGUCUUCAGUGCAGCUUCAAUGAAAGAUUAACAACGAGCAGUUAACUCGUGCUGAAGAAAGAUUCACAGAGUUUAAAGGAAUAAUCAAGACCGAGAAAGAGAUGGAUGAUCAGCGCAGACCGCUGGAUUUCACUGGGACACCUCAAGUCAUCUUACACUGAAAAGAGGAGGGCACCACACCCGCCAGGAGGCGCUGGCCGACCAGCGGAGGAACUCUAGUUUUGACGAAAGUGAGCUGGAACAUUUUCAGAUAAAGGAAGAAGAGAAGGAAGCCUGCAUAGUCAGGAUGAAGAGGCACUCGGGCUGAAGCAGGAGACUGAAACCUUAAUGGUGACUCCUGCUCAUGAAGAAUUUCACACUGAACCAGAAGCAAAGUGGAACCAACUCAACUUUCCUCCUGAAACUGAGAAUGAGGAUCAGGAAAAAAGCAAUCCCAAAGUCUCAGGAGUAAUUAUGGAUGUAGAGCAAAUACACUGGAAAACUAGACACCAUAAUGACACAAGAAGUUCACCAGAAAAAGGGUGCACAGAAACUCAUAGUGAUAAGAAACUUUACUUUGUGAAAUGUGUGAUAAAAGUUUUUCUUUAAAUAAAAACUUGAUCACGAACAUGA